GACUCUGUAGCUCAGUUGGUGAGAUCGCUGCACCAGAAUCGCAGGGUGGCAGGUUCGAUUCCUGCCAGGGACC
rnacentral:tRNA from 1 species